AGACCCCACAAACCUUACAGACCCCAUAAACCCCGCAGACCCCACAGACCCCACAAACCCCUCCACCCCACAGACCCCACAGACCCCACAAACCCCACAGAGCUCCGUGCUGCACGUCGGGGCCGACCCCAUUUAUUGACCCCAAAACUGCCGAUGGGGNNNNNNNNNNNNNNNNNNNNNNNNNNNNAGACCCCACAGAUGUGGGGUGGGGUGGGGCGCUAUGGGGUGCUAUGGGGCGGUGUGGGGUGCUAUGGGGUGCUAUAGGGUGGUGUGUGGGGCUAUAGGGUGCUAUGGGGUGGUGUAGGGUGCCAUGGCGUGUUAUGGGGUGCUAUGGGGUGGUAUGUGGGGCUAUGGGGCGCUAUGGGGUGCUAUGGGGCAGUGUAGGGUGCUAUGGAGUGCUAUGGGGUGCUAUGGGGCGGUAUGUGGAGCUAUGGGGCACUAUGGGGUGCUAUGGGGCGGUGUAGGGUGCUAUGGGGCACUAUGGGGUGCUAUGGGGUGGUGUGUGGGGCACAAUGGGGUCAAUGGGUCUCAAUGGGUCUCAGUGGGUCUCAGUGGGGUCAAUGGGUCUCAGUGGGUCUCAGUGGGUCUCAGUGGGUCUCAAUGGGUCUCAAGGGGUCUCAAUGGGGCACAGUGGUUCUCCGUGGGUCUCAGUGGGUCCCAGUGGGUCUCAGUGGGUCGCUGUGGGUCUCAAUGGUCUCAGUGGGUUUCAAUGGGUCUCAGUGGGGUCAAUGGGGUCACUGGGUCUCAGUGGGUUUCAGUGGGUCUCAGCAGGUCUCAGUGGGGCACAAUGGGGUCAGUGGGUCUCAGUGGGUCUCAGUGGGUCGCUGUGGGUCUCAGUGGGUUUCAAUGGGUCUCAGUGGGGUCAAUGGGGUCACUGGGUCUCAGUGGGUCUCAGUGGGUCUCAGUGGGUCUCAAUGGGUCUCAAUGGGGUCUCAUUGGGGCACAGUGGGUCUCAGUGGGUCUCAGGGGUCUCAAUGGGUCUCAGGGGUCU
rnacentral:lncRNA from 1 species